AUUGAACGCUGGCGGCAUGCCUUACACAUGCAAGUCGAACGGCAGCACGGGAGCAAUCCUGGUGGCGAGUGGCGAACGGGUGAGUAAUAUAUCGGAACGUGCCCAGUCGUGGGGAUAACGUAGCGAAAGCUACGCUAAUACCGCAUACGAUCUAUGGAUGAAAGCGGGGGAUCGCAAGACCUCGCGCGAUUGGAGCGGCCGAUAUCAGAUUAGGUAGUUGGUGAGGUAAAGGCUCACCAAGCCGACGAUCUGUAGCUGGUCUGAGAGGACGACCAGCCACACUGGGACUGAGACACGGCCCAGACUCCUACGGGAGGCAGCAGUGGGGAAUUUUGGACAAUGGGCGCAAGCCUGAUCCAGCAAUGCCGCUGCAGGAUGAAGGCCUUCGGGUUGUAAACGUAGU
rnacentral:rRNA from 1 species